CCUACGGGUGGCAGCAGUGAGGAAUAUUGGUCAAUGGGCGCGAGCCUGAACCAGCCAAGUAGCGUGAAGGAUGACUGCCCUACGGGUUGUAAACUUCUUUUAUAAAGGAAUAAAGUGAGGCACGUGUGCCUUUUUGUAUGUCCUUUAUGAAUAAGGCUCGGCUAACUCCGGGCCAGCAGCCGCGGUAAUACGGAGGAUCCGGGCGUUAUCCGGAUUUGUUGGGUUUAAAGGGAGCGUAGAUGGGUUGGUAAGUCAGUUGUGAAAGUUUGCGGCCCAAACGUAAAAUUGCAAUUGAUACUGGCAGCCUUGAGUACAGUUGAGGUAGGCGGAAUUCGUGGUGUAGCGGUGAAAUGCUUAGAUAUCACGAAGAACUCCGAUUGCGAAGGCAGCUUACUAAACUGCCACUGACAUUGAUGCUCGAAAGUGUGGGGAUCAAACAGGAUUAGAUACCCGAGUAGUC
rnacentral:rRNA from 1 species